rnacentral:rRNA from 1 species
CAGUCGUGAGGAAGGCGGCGUCGUUAAUAGCGGCGUUGUUUGACGUUAGCGACAGAAGAAAGCACCGGCUAACUCCGUGCCAGCAGCCGCGGUAAUACGGAGGGUGCGAGCGUUAAUCGGAAUUACUGGGACGUAAAGCGCAUGCAGGUGGUUUGUUAAGUCAGAUGUGAAAGGACCCGGGGCGUCAACCUACGGUAAGUUGCUAUUUAGUAAACGUAGGCAGACUAGAGUACUGUAGAGGGGGGUAGGAAUUUCAGGUGUAGCGGUGAAAAUGCGUAGAGAUCUGAAGGAAUACCGGUGGCGAAGGCGGCCCCCUGGACAGAUACUGACACUCAGAUGCGAAAGCGUGGGGAGCAAACAGGAUUAGAUACCCUGGUAG